rnacentral:lncRNA from 1 species
UUUGAUAUCUCUAGAAUACAGGCACUUCUGAAACACAACUGGAAUGUCCCACUGUUUAAUCUGAGACUUGGAUACAAGAAAAAAAUUUAAUUUAAUUCUUUUGUCAUUUCUCUAUCACAUAUGUCAGCACUCAUAGAAAGUUGAGAAAAAAAAAAACCAUGGCUGAAUCGCUGCCUCCGCCUUCUCCGGCAAACAUAGAAUCUCUGUCCAACUCAGUCCAAGAACUGUCC